rnacentral:SRP_RNA from 1 species
CCGUGCAGCCGGGGCGUUAGCGGUGCCCUGUACCCACAAUCCGCUCUAGUGGGGGUGAUGCUUUAUCGAGGGCUUGCGCUUGCGUAGCUGCCCUUUACAAGUGGCGUUGAAGUUUGGGUCUUACGCAAUGAGAAUCCAUGAACCGUGUCAGGGUGGGAACACAGCAGCACUAAGUGGAACCUUUCAUGUGCCGUGAGGGUGCCUGGCGGAGUUAACUGUAAAGGUAACGUACAUGGGUUAUGGCUCGACAUAAAGCGCACGG